GUCUGUGGCCAUGCCACCCUGAACAAGCCCGAUCCCGUCUGAUCUCGGAAGCUAAGCAGGGUUGGGCCUGGUUAGUACUUGGAUGGGAGACCACCUACUUAGGAAGACCAGGUGCUGUAGGCA
rnacentral:rRNA from 1 species